GUUUAUAUAAUUUAUUAAGAAUAGUGUGUUGAAGCCGCAACAGAGAUAUAUUUAUCUGUAAACA
rnacentral:tRNA from 1 species